rnacentral:rRNA from 1 species
UACGUAGGGUCCGAGCGUUAUCCGGAAUUAUUGGGCGUAAAGAGCUCGUAGGCGGUCUGUCGCGUCGGUCGUGAAAACUUGGGGCUUAACCCUGAGCUUGCGGUCGAUACGGGCAUGACUGGAGUUCGGCAGGGGAGACUGGAAUUCCUGGUGUAGCGGUGAAAUGCGCAGAUAUCAGGAGGAACACCGGUGGCGAAGGCGGGUCUCUGGGCCGAUACUGACGCUGAGGAGCGAAAGCGUGGGGAGCGAACAGG